rnacentral:rRNA from 1 species
GUAUUUAUUAGAUUAAAAACCAAUGCCCUCUGGGCUCCUUGGUGAUUCAUGAUAACUCUUCGAAUCGCACGGCCUUGCGCCGGCGAUGGUUCAUUCAAAUUUCUUCCCUAUCAACUUUCGAUGUUUGGGUAUUGGCCAAACAUGGUUGCAACGGGUAACGGAGGGUUAGGGCUCGACCCCGGAGAAGGAGCCUGAGAAACGGCUACUACAUCCAAGGAAGGCAGCAGGCGCGCAAAUUACCCAAUCCCGAUUCGGGGAGGUAGUGACAAUAAAUACUGAUACAGGGCUCUUUUGGGUCUUGUAAUUGGAAUGAGUACAAUUUAAAUCCCUUAACGAGGAACAAUUGGAGGGCAAGUCUGGUGCCAGCAGCCGCGGUAAUUCCAGCUCCAAUAGCGUAUAUUAAAGUUGUUGUGGUUAAAAAGCUCGUAGUUGAACCUUGGGCCUGGCUGGCCGGUCCGCCUCACCGCGUGCACUGGUCCGGCCGGGCCUUUCCCUCUGUGGAACCCCAUGCCCUUCACUGGGCGUGGCGGGGAAACAGGACGUUUACUUUGAAAAAAUUAGAGUGCUCCAGGCAGGCCUAUGCUCGAAUACAUUAGCAUGGAAUAAUGAAAUAGGACGCGUGGUUCUAUUUUGUUGGUUUCUAGGACCGCCGUAAUGAUUAAUAGGGACAGUCGGGGGCAUCAGUAUUCAAUUGUCAGAGGUGAAAUUCUUGGAUUUAUUGAAGACUAACUACUGCGAAAGCAUUUGCCAAGGAUGUUUUCAUUAAUCAGGAACGAAAGUUAGGGGAUCGAAGACGAUCAGAUACCGUCGUAGUCUUAACCAUAAACUAUGCCGACUAGGGAUCGGACGAUGUUAUUUUUUGACGCGUUCGGCACCUUACGAGAAAUCAAAGUGCUUGGGCUCCAGGGGGA